UACAGGGGGGGCAAGCGUUGUUCGGAAUUACUGGGCGUAAAGGGUCUGUAGGUGGCCAACUAAGUCAGACGUGAAAUCCCUCAGCUUAACUGGGGAACUGCGUCUGAUACUGGAUGGCUUGAGUGUGGGAGAGGAAUGCGGAAUUCCAGGUGUAGCGGUGAAAUGCGUAGAUAUCUGGAGGAACACCGGUGGCGAAGGCGGCAUUCUGGACCAUAACUGACACUGAGAGACGAAAGUCAGGGGAGCAAACGGG
rnacentral:rRNA from 1 species